UCACCACUUAUAAUUAGGGACAGAAAUCUGUCCUCCACUAAUAAAGGAAAUAAUUGUUUGAAGAAGAACCGAAACCCUCUGAACAGUUGGUUGGUUGAAUGGAGUUCUACAAAAAUAGAACUUGCUGAAAUUCAGAAGACCGCUUUUUAUGAAGAACAUCGGCUGAAACUAAAGCACAUGCGAGAGAAACACGAUAAAUGGAUGCUGUUACAAGAAACUGAGUCAGCGAUGAAAAUGAAAUUCUUGAAAGAGGAACAUGAUAUGAAUAUGUCUCUCCAUC